CAGCCGCCGCGGUAAUACGGAGGGUGCGAGCGUUAAUCGGAAUUACUGGGCGUAAAGCGUACGCAGGCGGUUUGUUAAGUCAGAUGUGAAAUCCCCGAGCUUAACUCGGGAACUGCAUUUGAAACUGGCAGGCUAGAGUCUCGUAGAGGGGGGUAGAAUUCCAGGUGUAGCGCUGAAAUGCGUAGAGAUCUGGAGGAAUACCGGUGGCGAAGGCGGCCCCCUGGACAAAGACUGACGCUCAGGUGCGAAAGCGUGGGGAGCAAACAGGAUUAGAUACCCGUGUAGUCCCUGUCUCUUAUAC
rnacentral:rRNA from 1 species